rnacentral:lncRNA from 1 species
GAUCGAUGCCAGCUCUUGUGAGUGACUACAAGAGCCAACGAGUUAAACCCCAGGUUUGAUAUCCUUACUAGUUUUAAUCAUCCUGAGAGCAGUUAGAGUUCUUUCUAUAAAGGAUUUUCUAGAUCAGAAUAUGAAAGCUGUAUGUAGAUCUUUGGCCUAGUGUCGUAUAUCCCAAACAUAUUCCUUUCUUCCAGGAAGGAAACAAAAAUAAAAUAAAAUAAAGACUGAGGAACAAGAUAAAUUGAAGAUUUCACUACUUAAUCAAUAUGAAAUAUGCAAUUUUGAAUAGCUUACAACAUUUAAGAUAACUAUAAGCUAUUUGUUACACUUUCAAAUGGUGAAGUAUCAGUGGUAACCCCCAAGAAAUCCAAUAGGAGUACAUAAACCAAAUGAUAGGAUACAUUUUUAUUGGAUAUAGUUGUAAACUGUUCACAUCAGGGUGGGGAGCUUGAUCCUCAAAUUAACUUAUUGCCAGCUCCAGGACUUGGAACUGACUGGUCAGGCACAGCUCUGUGCUUGGUGAUGUGCAUUUUAUUCACUGCCAUUGCAUGACCAUUUUUAGCAGGAGGUGCAGGUGAACCAAGAACCUUAGAAUUGGCACUCACAAUGGUACUCUGGUCCAAAACAGGACCAUUCAUCCUUUCCUUUAAGAUCUUUCUGGCACCAAAAGAUGGAGCAUGGCAUACUAAUACAAUAGCAAUAACAAGGAUUGUGGUUUUGUUGAAAUGAGCCAUUAAGAGUGCUAAGAGAGAAAAGUCUAGGAAAUAAGGCUUAUGCUGCAAAGAAGGAAAUACAGAGGCUGUGUUCGGGAUAAUAGAAUCGGCUCAUAAACUGAUCUAUUUAUGGGCCAAUGGAUGAGGUAGAGACGUGAGGGUCAAGUUGAAUUGGUUUAGAUGGUAUGGAUAAUUGAAAACCAGAAAUUCUUUGACAGCGUUUGUAAAAACUAUGCCUGGAAAUAUCUCGUAGACAUUGAGUUAGGUACAUUUGAACUGAAUGUGGCCAAUAUCAUUUUCUUCCACUUCAUCCAUCGACCUGGGAGUCUAGUCAGGCUUUCUUCAAAAGCAGAACUACUUAUAGAAAGGAGAAAUAGGAAUCAUGG